CAGCAGCCGCGGUAAUACAGAGGGUGCGAGCGUUAAUCGGAUUUACUGGGCGUAAAGCGUGCGUAGGCGGCUAAUUGAGUCGGAUGUGAAAUCCCCGAGCUUAACUUGGGAAUUGCAUUCGAUACUGGUUAGCUAGAGUGUGGGAGAGGAUGGUAGAAUUCCAGGUGUAGCGGUGAAAUGCGUAGAGAUCUGGAGGAAUACCGAUGGCGAAGGCAGCCAUCUUGCCUAACACUGACGCUGAGGUACGAAAGCAUGGGGAGCAAACAGGAUUAGAUACCCCAGUAGUCCCUGUCUCUUAUAC
rnacentral:rRNA from 1 species